rnacentral:lncRNA from 1 species
GAGCAUCUACAACCUUCUCAUCUCUCUUCUCAGUCUUCACCAAGCCCCUUUCUGCAGCAUUGGAUGCUACUGGCCCCUGCUCUUGCUGUAAGCAUCCAGCCUCCUGAGCACCACCCUAUCCUGGUCUUCUUCACAAUCUUCUUAUUUCCUUGCCUCUUUCUUUGAUUCUUUUCCUUUCAACUUUUAGUCAUGGGUAUUUGACAGAGUUUUAUAUUUUUCUUCCUCCUCUCCGUCUCCUUUCAUUUCUGUCUCUGUCUCUGUGUUCCUCCUCCAGCACUACAACUGCCUUUUCUAAUUUGUACCUCUGCCCCACAAUCCUACCUGGACAUCUGAGCUAUUUUGUUGCUAACUCUACUUUUAAUUCUUGAAAUAGCAACAAAGAUCCAGAUUUCCUCCCUGCCCUAUCUAUUCUAGAACAUGACUGGUAUUCUCCAACCUCCUGGGGAAAACACUGAUCCAGAAAACAUAAUAUUAACUCCUUUUUUUCACUCAUUGUGGCAGAAACCAAGUUUCCACUGUCAAUACAGAACCUGAAAAGAACCCAUCAGAAAACAGAUUAUGCCCAGGAGUCAGUAGCCUCCUUAGUCUGGAGGGCUGCCUGCAGGACUAAGCACUACAAAAAGGUAGAGGGGGUAGGGGGAGACUGACAAGGAAGGAUGGUAGCUCAAGGAUAAAGCUUAUGAGAAAGGAAAAAAAUAAAGAGAGUGAGAAGUCAGAAGAUAAAUGAUGAAAUGGACAAAAGAAAGAAAACAUAAAACAGGUGCAGUGAUGCACACAUGUAAUCCCAGUGGUUUAAGAGGUUGAGGCAGGAGGAUCAUGAGUUCAAACCCAGACUCAGCAACUUAGUGAGGUUCUAAGCAAC